GCUCAAGGCUUGGAAAGCUAAGGCGGUGGAGGCAUUCGGAGCAACCGACACAUGGAAAGGUGGUGAUAUGGCUGAGCUUGGGCUCAUAAUCGCUGGAUUGGACACCGCGGAAGUGGGCAAGUUGUCUCCAGAUCAAAUCUCAAGCAUUGGAACGGAUGCCAUUCCCAAGUUCCCAGUUGAUACAUUUAAGGGUCUUACAGUUGCACAAAUCUUAGCUCUAAGUACAGCCCAGGCACAGACCGUUAACCAAG